GGACAGGUUUUGUUCCCUCCUGCUCAGUAUGCUGGGGGGGGUGUCCCUGUUUCUUUGCCUUUCAAAAUCUUUGUUACUGGUACUUUAUUCAGAGGCUGGACUAACUCUGCAUGAUGGUUUCUGGGCCAGUGGGUGAAAUGCUGCCAGGCCAGCUCUAAUCCUGAGUUCUGAACCUCAGGGUAAUCUCAACCAACUCACCAGUGCUCAGUUCCUUAAAGUUGCUGCUGGCCAGCUCCUCUUGUGUCACCGCGGUUCCUCAGCAAGCACCAUGCUGGGAAGUCCCAGAGGCAGGGAAGACUUGCUGCAUUAUUGAAAUGUCCAUGCCAACAGAGAAAGAUUCAUUAUUAAGUAGAUUCUGCAUUAUUACACGGAGCUCCUGACAAGCACCCUAACGCUGCCCCAUAGGACAGCUCCACAAUCCAUCAUGACUGCCUGGGAUCUGUGACAACCCAGAAUGAUACGUGCUGGGUCAUCAGAACAGAGUAGGAGCAGCACAGCAUGACUUCGGGAGCCUAAAAAUAGGUUUUCUGCGAGCAGUGGGCGUGGAAAGGAGCACUAGUCAUCUGCCUCACUAUGGGGUAAAGGAUCAGAUACGGCCAGAGACAUGGUAUAAAAUGAGAAGCCAAAUUCCUUUUUGCUGGAUGGCUGCUCAAGUACUUGGAGUCACUGUGAAUUGCCUGAUUGAGCUGUGAAUGUAGCACAUUAUAUUUUUCCUCUGGAUUGUUUCUUCCCUUUAUUCUGUAACUCUGUAAAUCUCAUUUGAACUUACCACACCUUUUUUUUUUUUUUUUUUUUUUAAGUUUACUCAUUGGAGUAUGUGCUAGACCCAGUCUCUGCCAAGCCUAAAUAAACUGCAUUUAUAAAGGAACCCUGAUUAUUCUGGACAGGAGGGGUUUGAUUCACAGAAGUCAUAUUCUUUGAAAAGGUCUGUUCCUUUGGUAGUGACUUGUUUGAAAUGGAUUCUACUUUACUAUGCCUGUUAAGCUGUUCUCAAGGCCACACAAAGGAGGAAGGAUUGUAUAAGGCCGUAUAAAUCAAAGUUUGUUAUAGGAAUGUCAAACACUGCAGCACACUGGUGUGUUAAUAGCAAGCAGACAAGAAGUGCGGUAGUAGUCAGAGACAGUUUGCAGAAGCAAUGAAGCUAGAGAGUCCGAUUCUCAAAGCUGUCUACAACAGCUGGGUCCAGCAGACCCAGAUGUAAUUCUGUUGCUGCUGAGGGGGGACUGACUAGCCCCCACAGCACAUUGUUAAAGGACUUCAGUGGUCAGAUGAGAAGUGCCUGGAGUUGUCUUUCUGGUCUAAAUUGCUACCAUUAGAUAGGCUCUAGAAACGAUGCAAUGGGGCAGAUGUUCAUCUCACCAAAAAGCUCCAUUUUAAUUGGAACUAGUUAGCACCUGUUCUGCUCUCACUAAGACAGAAAUCACUGUAUGGAAGUCACUGGAGAUGUAGUGGGGUGAACUAGUGAGAGGGUAAUUGGGACCCUGAGCAGAAGACGGUAAGGUGACCCUGUCUGAGGUUCUCUCUGGUUAGUUCAUUUUGCUGCUAAGAUCAAGUGUAGUGUGAUCCAACAGCCUGGGACCCCAGCAAUGAGAGCAUCCUGCAUGCUUGCUGUGUCUCCUGCUGCUAUGCCAAGCAGAUGCACUGACUUAUGGUGUCAGACACAAUCUGCUGGUCCUGCAACAUCUAUGUAGAGCACAUCAUGGGCUAUCGCCAAUAUACCAACCCCGCCAGACUGACCACCACUGGACCGGACCCAGAGAGGACCACCUGAAGCCCCCUCUGCACCCGAUGGACUCCAAGAGGAACCUUCAACAAUGGACCACCCCGCUCCACCCGAAGAGGACCCCUGCGAUGAGACUCUGUACGGACUGAGACACUUUCUCCAACCCACUCCCUCCA